UAUUUUGUUUUGCUUGUUUAUCUGCGGUUUAUUAUUUUUAUUCAUACCCAAGAGAUUCAAAAUUGGGCAUAUUAUAUUCGCAAAGCAAAGAUUCCAUAAGGUGCAUCAGCCAGAAAUGCUUUGGAUGAAUUUAAAAAAGUUGGACGCAAGAGAAUCAGGAAUAAACCAGAUCAACAGCAACAUUCCCAAGCAACACAAAAUGAAGGAAAUCUAUUCCACAGUUUUUAUGGACGGGGAAACCGAAAUAUCUUGUUUCUGGCCCAGCGUCAACAUAAUAAUCAACUCUGAUAAAGAUCUUGGUCAAAUCUAAUUUACUGACAUGUGGAAUUCGUCCAACAAUUUUUUUGAUUCCAUCGAGUGGUGUGGCCAGCAGUCCGCGUGACCAAAUAUAAAAACGACAUGUUAAAAAAUCGUCAACAAUUUGAUAACUACAUAAUAAUGUAAAGUGAACGAUGAUCAAGAUAUUUCUCUUUAAGAGUAUUUACUGUUGAAUGAGU